rnacentral:rRNA from 1 species
GACGAACGCUGGCGGCGUGCCUAAUACAUGCAAGUAGAACGCAGUUGAGAACGGGUGAGUAACGCGUAGGUAACUGCCUCAUAGCGGGGGAUAACUAUUGGAAACGAUAGCUAAUACCGCAUACUGUGAGAUGGACCUGCGUUGUAGUAGCUAGUUGGUGAGGUAACGGCUCACCAAGGCGACGAUACAUAGCCGACCUGAGAGGGUGAUCGGCCAGACUGUUACUGAGACACGGCUCAGACUCCUACGGGAGGCGGCAUUAGGAAAUCCUCGGCAAUGGACGGAAGUCUGACCGGGCAACACCGCUGGAGUGAAGAAGGUUGUCGGAUUGUGAAGCUUUGUUGUUGAAGGAGCGCUAACUAAUCAGAAAGUGAUGGCAAACUACGUGCAAGCCGCCGCGGUAAUAC